rnacentral:rRNA from 1 species
CCUACGGGGGGCAGCAGUGAGGAAUAUUGGUCAAUGGGAGAGAUCCUGAACCAGCCAAGCCGCGUGAGGGAUGACGGCCCUAUGGGUUGUAAACCUCUUUUGUCGGAGAACAAAACCCGGGACGUGUCUCGGACUGCGUGUAUCCGAAGAAAAAGCAUCGGCUAACUCCGUGCCAGCAGCCGCGGUAAUACGGGGGAUGCGAGUGUUAUCCGGAUUUAUUGGGUUUAAGGGGGGCGUAGGCGGUCGGUUAAGUCAGUGGGAAAAUUGCGGGGCUCAACCCCGUCGAGCCGUUGAAACUGGCAGACUUGAGUUGGCGAGAAGUACGCGGAAUGCGCGGUGUAGCGGUGAAAUGCAUAGAUAUCGCGCAGAACUCCGAUUGCGAAGGCAGCGUACCGGCGCCAGACUGACGCUGAGGCACGAAAGCGUGGGGAUCGAACAGGAUUAGAUACCCUUGUAGUC